AAUCCUGGCUCAGAAUAAACGCUGGCGGCGUGUCUUAAGCAUGCAAGUCGGACGGCAAGCCGCCUUCGGGCGGCCUAGAGUGGCGGACUGGUGAGUAACACGUGGGUGAUAUACCUUUUGGGCGGGGAUAGCCCCUAGAAAUAGGGGGUAAUACCGGAUAAGGCCGUGCGGGUUGGAGCCGCACGGGGAAAGGCGCUAUGGCGCCGCCGAAAGAAUAGCCUGCGACCUAUCAGCUUGUUGGUGAGGUAAAGGCCCACCAAGGCG
rnacentral:rRNA from 1 species